GGUUGUGGCUCAGUGGUAGAGCACUUGCCUAGCACAUGCCAGGCCCUGGGUUCAAUCCUCAGCACCA
rnacentral:tRNA from 1 species